GCCCUUCGGGGUACACGAGCGGCGAACGGGUGAGUAACACGUGGGUGACCUGCCCUCAGCUCUGGGAUAAGCCUGGGAAACCGGGUCUAAUACCGGAUAUGACCUGCUUCUGCAUGGGAGUGGGUGGAAAGUUUUUUCGGCUGGGGAUGGGCCCGCGGCCUAUCAGCUUGUUGGUGGGGUGAUGGCCUACCAAGGCGACGACGGGUAGCCGGCCUGAGAGGGCGACCGGCCACACUGGGACUGAGACACGGCCCAGACUCCUACGGGAGGCAGCAGUGGGGAAUAUUGCGCAAUGGGCGGAAGCCUGACGCAGCGACGCCGCGUGGGGGAUGACGGCCUUCGGGUUGUAAACCUCUUUCGACCGGGACGAAGCGUAAGUGACGGUACCGGGAUAAGAAGCACCGGCCAACUACGUGCCAGCAGCCGCGGUAACACGUAGGGUGCGAGCGUUGUCCGGAAUUAUUGGGCGUAAAGAGCUCGUAGGCGGUGUGUCGCGUCGGCCGUGAAAACCUGGGGCUUAACUCUGGGCUUGCGGUCGAUACGGGCAUCACUGGAGUUCGGCAGGGGAGACUGGAAUUCCUGGUGUAGCGGUGAAAUGCGCAGAUAUCAGGAGGAACACCGGUGGCGAAGGCGGGUCUCUGGGCCGAUACUGACGCUGAGGAGCGAAAGCGUGGGGAGCGAACAGGAUUAGAUACCCUGGUAGUCCACGCCGUAAACGUUGGGCGCUAGGUGUGGGGGCCAUUCCACGGUCUCUGUGCCGCAGCUAACGCAUUAAGCGCCCCGCCU
rnacentral:rRNA from 1 species